rnacentral:lncRNA from 1 species
CUCUACUACUUUUCUAAUGUGUGAUAGGAAUAAUUAAGAUGAUUAAGUGGUAAUUGUUUCAAUUUUGUUGCCAGAAAGAUGACUUUGCCUCCAAAGAGAAAACAGCAAGCCAAGAGUGACAACAGGAUUAAAUGACAAACGACUUUGCCCUGGAAGAAGAUGGAGGAAAAUGGGCCCCUGCGGAGUGACACGGGAGGAGAGGAGCCUUUGGGAACAGAAAGGCCGAUACUGACCUUCAGACCUGGGGAAGGAGAGGAAGAGUGGGAGGUAACCUGGCUUCUCCUGGAAAGGUCAUCUGUCUGCUGGGCUGUGACUGCAGAGACCUGCCUGGACAAGUGGGCCUGGGACAAGUGGGAAGUGUGUGAGAACUGUCGGGAGAAAGAGAAACGGUAGGAUGCGGGGAGAAGAGAGAACAUGUUGGGUGAUCAAAAGAUGCCCAAACAUUAAUACAGAAGAAUAAGAGCUUAAUCAUAA